rnacentral:lncRNA from 1 species
GUGAUCUUUGUAAAGUGAGGUGAAGGAGGAGUUUGUGUAGUGACAACACAAUCACACUGUGUGCAGAAAUAAAAACCUGUUCAACCAAAUAUUCACAUUUAGUUGGGGUAUGAGAAGAGGAGUGCUCAUCUGAAGUUUGUUGGUUUGACCAGCAGGUGGAGCUGCUGCAUUAACAAUAAACUGAGACUCAACCAACCAAACAAGUUCCUGUUUUAGUGAACUUUUACUUUGGACUCAGGAGAGGAAGGUGGCUGUCAAGAAUACUGAACUUAAAAGAUGAUGAAAAACUGUCAGUAAAUGAGGAGAAGAAUCUGUGAUCUGGUGGUUUAGGUUUCAGUGAAAACAGUCAGAGUGAAAGUGAAAGUAUGUGAGCUGAAAAACAGACUCCAUUUUGAGAAAAGAAGAGAGAGGAGAGGACGAGGAGACAGGGUGAGUGUUUACUCUGUUUUAGUUUUAAUGUCAAACUCUUUAUCUGUUUUAUCUGUUAAUGAAAAAAUGAUUUACUGACUAAAACACUUAAAAACUGCAAAACAAAGAAACCAGAGCAGACAAAGAGCUGGAUCAGUUCUUCAUACAGGAAGCUGUGUACGUGCAGUUCUUCCUCCUCUUUGUUUAGACUUGUCUUUUUGGUAAAAAUAUUAAUCAGAAUCUUUUUAGCGUCUCAUUUCAAAUUUAAUCCAGUCUCCUUAAGUUUUUUUCUGAGAGUUCAGGGACCUCACAGCUGAUUUUGUUUUGACCAUGAAUCAGACAAGGAUCAGAGAGAGGCCCUGCAGGGUGGGGAGACAUCAGAAGUUCUUGGAUAUUAAACCUGUAUAACUCUUAAAGAGGGGGAUGAAGCUGUUUUCAGACUCUGUACUUCCUUUCUGAUUCCUCUUUUAUUUCUGAACUCUCUCUUCCUGUUUGUGUCUCACCUGUUUGUCUUCUUUGUCCUCAGGUUGUAUAACUCGGUUUCAGCCUCCAUAAAUUUGCACAACAGAAGAUGGAGAAGAUGAGUGUUUGUGUCGAGGAAGAGGAGGGCAGAGCAGAGUCUGAUAUGUUUGACUGUCUGUCUAUGAAGAGUGACCGGUCUAAAGAUCCUCCACCUGGUCUUCAGUAAAGAACCAGGACCCCCAGAGGAGGACAGAACAAAGUCUGUUAUCUCCAGCUGUCUGUCUAUGAAGAGUGACCGGUCUAAAGAUCCUCCACCGGUCUUCAGUGAAGAACCAGGACCCCCAGAGGAGGACAGAACAAAGUCUGUUAUCUCCAGCUGUCUGUCUAUGAAGAGUGACCGGUCUAAAGAUCCUCCACCAAAAUUCAGUGAAGAACCAGGACCCUCAGAUUCACAGUAAGAGAAACACUUUUCAAUCACCAAACUCUCAAACAACAUCUGAUGUUUCAAAUACAAAACUUUAAAUCCUGACCCCUCUGUUUUCUCCUCUGUUCUCAAAACACUGAUUUUCCUCUUGAACCUGCCAACCUGGAUAAAAUUCAAUUCAAUUCAACUUUAUUUAUAAAGCCCAUUUCAUGUACAAGGCAGACUCAAUGUGCUUCACAACAGGUGUACAUAGUUAAAAACAGUUAUACAAAAAUCAAUUAGAAAUCAAUGUAAGAGUGUAAGUGCAAGUCAACUUCACUGCAUGCACACUUAAACUCGUACAUGCGCACGCACUCACACAUGGACACGUGCACACGUACACACAUACACACACAGUUUAAAAGAAUGCUAUAGAAACCUGUUUUUAAAGAUGGCUACUGAUGUGUCUAACUGUGUCAGGCAGGGUGUUCCAUUUUUGUGGGGCAUAAACACUCAAAGCUGCCUCCCCUUAUUUGGAUCUGGUGUGAGGGAUGAGUAAGUUGCCACUGCCUGUUGACCGAAGUGUUCUUGCUGGGGUGUAGGUGAUGAGCAUAUCUGUGAUGUACUGAGGUGUAAGGCCAUGUAGUGCUUUGUAAACCAGGAGGAGUAUUUUGAAAUCGAUUCUUGUCCUAACGGGUAACCAAUGUACAGAUUUGAGAACGGGUGUGAUGUGUUGAUAUUUUUUGGUACCAGUGAGAAUACAUGCAGCUGCAUUUUGAAUUAACUGUAACCUCUGAAGACUUGAUUUUGGGAGUCCAGUGAAUAAACUGUUACAGUAAUCCAGUUUACUUCUUAUAAAUGCAUGGAUGAAUUUUUCUAAGUCUGAUUUUGACAGAAAGCCCCUCAGUUUGGAGAUAUUUUUGAGAUGAUAGAAAGAUGAUCUUGAAUUAAAUCUUGUAAUGGAUAAAAGGCUGGUAAAGAAAAAGUCACUGAGCACAGAUUUACUUAUUAUUCUUGAUGUUUAUAAAAAUGAAGGGCAUAUAAAACAGCAUUUGAAAAGGAUUCUGACCUCUCGUAUUUUCUGAUUUGGUUCCUGUGUUUGGGACGUUUUGAGCCUGUUAGUCUUUGGACUGUGGUGUAUAGACCCCAGAAAACAGUCUGUGGGUCACAAAAUACCAGAAGACUAAAGAAGAAAUAAAUCCUGAAAAAUAAAAACUCAUUCAGAGCAUCUUUCUGUUAUUAGACCUUUAGAUCUGAUUGGUCAAAAAAAAAGUUUUAAACUGUCAGAGAAAAUCUCUCUACCUUCAAAAAUCAAAGUUUAGUUUUUUUCUCUUGUCAUGACACUUUCAGGCAGCAGCAGCUGAAUAUUUUACAGGAGAUUGUUUUAUGUUAGAGAAAAGAGAAACUCUGGUUUAAUAAAUGUUUCUUAUUCUGUAUCUUUCAAACAUGAAAUAAUAAAGAAAAGAAAUGUUCUUUAUUUCCACAGAGAGACACAGAGAUGUGACUCUGUGGAGGAGCAGCUGUCCAAAUGUUCUUUAUGUCAGGAUGUCCUGAAGGAUCCAGUCUCUACCCGCUGUGGACACCAGUCUACUUCUUCAGGAUACACCUCCUGUCCCCAGUGUGGAAAAAGAACCAGAACAGUUCUUGUCUUUCAGACAGACAGCCAGUCCAGCUCUGAUCGAAGUAAGUCUGAACACCUUUAAACCCUAAAUUAUACAAUUUCUGCCUGAAUUAUUUUGCUUAUUUUAGCCAUAAAAUUGGCAGAAAAUGUCUUAUGAGUGAGUGCUUUUUUAUUCAUUGGCUUUCAACCCUGCAUGAGACUCGGCUCCUGUUUUAGUGUUUUAUGGUUUGUUUUUAGUUAUUUGUUUCUAUGUUUUUAAAUUAGUUUUUAAAAUUAUUUUAACUCUAUUUUACUUUUUUAAUAUCUGCUUUUAUUUUUUCCACUGUUUUAAUUGUUUUUUUAUGUCUAUGCUUUUUUGUCUAUUUAUGUACAGCACUUUGGUUGGCUGUGGUUGUUUUAAAGUGCUUUACAAAUAAAGUUGAGUUUUACCCAUUUUUCCAGAGCACUUAAAACUUUCAAUAUCUGGCUGUCAUUUACGAUUUACUGUCUGUUAAAAAACUUUAACAUUGUAAGAUAAAGAAAAACACAAAAACGGAAUACGAUUUUUUGAGUUUUAAUGAGAAAAAACAGAAAAUAUUCAUGAAAAACAGAUUUUUCAUUUGAAAUAAAAAAAAAUUAAAGAGUAUCAAACAUAUUUACAACAAAAACUUUGGAGUACUGUCUCUCCAAGUGCAAAAACAGGCUGAAUAAAUACAACUGUGUCCACGCGUUUCUCCUCGUUUCUCCUCUCUCACUCAGAGGUCUUUGUGAAACUGUCAGAAGCUGUUCCUUUCUGUCUGCAGACACAGACCCACAUCACACCCCUCACACUUCCAGGCAGUUCUCCUUAUGACAAAGUUUGCAGCGUCGUCUCCUCAUGCCGGUUCUUUGAGACUUCAGCUGUCCAUGGCUUGUUUGGGCACGUAGCUAUACUCUACUAUAAACGGUGAGCAUUUCUGCGAAGUGGAUGUAAUUCUCGGUUGGCAUGUGUUUCUCGGUACAACAUCAACGGUUGCAAAAUGAGAAACCGACAAGAGAAAACCGCCGAAGAUGAAGACUUGUUGGUAAAAAGAGAAGCCACGUCACUAACCAUUGAAGAUGAAUACUCGUUGAUAAAAAGAACGUCACUAACCAUAGAAGAUGAAGACUCGUUGAUUAAAAGAAAAGCCACGUCACUUAUCUGUAAUUAUUUCGGUUACAAAAAGGAUGACGUCACCUAACACCUGUUCUGUGUCGGCAGGGCCUUUCAUCUGUUUCCACAAUAACGUCCCAGCAGAACAAUAAAAACUAAAAAUAUCUCUAAGACAGACAGAAGCCAUUCUACUAACAUGCACUAAAAGAGGGAAGAUCAGUGCAGGUUAACUGUCCUCAAGAUUUCAGCAGAAAGUCAGAUUCAGAUCAUCUGAGGAAAAUUCCUCUAUUUUUUAAUAUCGAUUAUAUAUAUCACAGGGUUGAACAACUUUUUAAUGUUAGUGUUUUCUAAUAUCGUGCUGUCUUAAUGGGCACACGUUACUACAAACUCACUGCCUUAGCAUGGUAUUCUAAUAAAGUCACAACAGGUUAUAAGUGUUGAUUUACUCAUAAAAUAACGUAAAUAAACUAAAAACGACACAGAGAGCGCUUCAAUCAUCCAGAGACCAACACAGAAAAUCAACCAGUCAAACUUUACCUUUCUCUGUCUGAAGUUGCUCUGAAAGCUUCUCCAUCGGUACCAAAGUCGUCUGAAAACCUCAGUGUAGGUUUUCUCACUCAGGAAGGAUUUAUCACAGACAUUUUCCUUUGAAAUAAUCCCUUUUUUGUCACUUUUCUCUCUUUUUGCUCCGUUUCUCUGCUCUGUUGUGUGUCUAUCCGCUGCUUUCUUUGAGAGGGGGAGAGGGGACGGAGAGACAGGUUUUCUCACUUCCCUAAACAGCAGGAGGGUUAUUACCGUAAUAACCGUUUAUUGGCUGUGUGGCGCAACUUCUCACCUUUCAGAAACCGUUGGAGUUUUUUUGACAGCACAAACUUUCCCACAGUUACGGUAAUUUAAAGAGCGCCUGUGCAAAAGGUGUCGGCGCCGACGGACUGUGAGGAAAAGUCUGUGUGGAUGAAAACUCAGCUGACUGAUUUUCACAAAGACGUUUCAGUGUUGAGAAGUUUGGUUCAUUUUAUUUUUCUUCUCUUUCAGAAGAUGGCCUCCCGCAGGAGGUUUUAGAUGAACAUAAGAUCAGUCUGAAGAGGAGAUGUGAACGUGUGAAUGAAGGAAGUGAUGAAACAGGAAGUAGUCAAACCCUCCUCAACAGGAUCUUCACUGAGCUCUACAUCACAGAGGGACUGAGUGAAGAGGUGAACACCCAACAUGAGGUGAGACAGCUGGAGAAAACUUCAAAGAUGAAGACCCUCCAUGACAUGCCCAUCAAGUGUCAUGAGAUCUUUAAAACCUUACCUGACCAACAGAAGAAGCUCAUCAGAGUGGUUCUGACCAACGGCGUGGCUGGUGUUGGAAAAACCUUCUCAGUGCAGAAGUUCACUCUGGACUGGGCAGAGGGUUUGGAGAACAAAGACCUCCAUCUGGUGGUCCUGCUUUCAUUCAGGGAGCUGAACCUGAUCAGAGAAGAGCGCUUCAGUCUUCUGAGUCUGCUCCAUGUUUUCCAUCCAACACUAGAGAAGGUCACAGCAGAGACGCUGGCUGUCUGUAAACUUCUGUUCAUCUUUGACGGUCUGGAUGAAAGCAGACUGUCUCUGGAUUUCACAGACUCUGAGGUGGUGUCUGACGUCACACAGAAGUCUUCACUCAACGUUCUGUUAACAAACCUCAUCAAGGGGAACCUGCUCCCCUCAGCUCUCAUCUGGAUAACUUCUCGACCUGCAGCAGCCAAUCAGAUCCCUCCUUCACGUGUGGACAGGAUAACAGAAGUACGAGGCUUCAAUGACACCCAGAAGGACGAGUACUUCAGGAAGAGGUUCACAGAUGAAGAUCUGUCCAGAAGAAUCAUCUCACACAUCAAGUCCUCCAGGAGCCUCCACAUCAUGUGUCAGAUCCCGGUCUUCUGCUGGAUCACUGCGACAGUUCUGGAGGACAUGAUGAUCAGAGAGCAGAGAGGAGAGCUGCCCAAGACCCUGACUGACAUGUACUCACACUUCCUGCUGGUCCAGACUAAGAGGAAGAAGCAGAAGUAUGGAGGAGGACAUGAGACAAGUCCUCAGGCACUGAUGGAUGCUGACAGUGACGUCCUCCUGAAGCUGGGGAGGCUGGCAUUGGAACAUCUGAACAGAGGAAACAUCAUGUUCUACCAAGAAGACCUGGAGCGGUGUGGUCUGGAUGUCUCAGAGGCCUCGGUGUACUCAGGAGUUUGUACAGAGAUCUUCAGAAGAGAGAGUGUGAUCUUCCAGAAAACUGUUUACUGUUUUGUUCAUCUGAGCGUUCAGGAGUUUCUGUCUGCAGUCUACAUGAUCCACAGUUUCACAAACAGGAACACAGAAGCUCUGAAGACUUUCCUAAGAAGCAACGAUGAUGAAGAUAAAAUGUCUUCUUCAGAGAUGGUUGACAGAUUUUUUCAAAACCUGGAUUAUUUUUUCUCAUCUCAGGAUGUCUUCCUGAAGAGUGUCAUGAUGAAAUCCCUUGUCAGUAAAAACGGUCACCUGGACCUGUUUGUUCGCUUCCUUCAUGGACUCUCUGUGGAGUCAAACCAGAGACUCUUAGGAGUUCUGCUGGGUCACACAGACAACAGUCCAGAAAUGAUCCAAACAGUCAUCAACAAUCUGAAGGAGAUGAACAGUGAAGAUAUCUCUCCUGACAGAAGCAUCAACAUCUUCCACUGUCUGAUGGAGAUGAACGAUCUGUCAGUUCAUCAGGAGAUUCAAGAGUUCCUGAAGUCAAAGAACAGAUCAGAGAAGGAACUCUCAGAGAUCCACUGCUCUGCUCUGGCCUACAUGCUACAGAUGUCAGAGGAGGUUCUGGAGGAGUUGGACUUAAAGAAUUAUAAAACAUCAGACCAGGGACGACUGAGACUGAUCCCAGCUGUGAGGAACUGCAGAAAGGCUGUGUGAGUCCAGGUUUUAUUCUCAGAAAAGUGUAAAUGAUCCCUGUAGUUCUUCUAAUGUCCACGUUACUGAUGAUGUUCUUCUUCAAAUAGAAAUCAAAUAUCAGGGAGGGGGUUUCUUUAGCAAAAACAUGAUCCUGGUGUCUAAAGUCCUGUUAGCCCAGGAUGAGGUCUACCUGUGGACCCCUGAGAACUUGUCCUGAUUGUGGAGGACCUCUUUGUUUUGAAUCGUGUCUGUAAUGAAUAAAGUGGAACUUUGAGGACAAAUCAGCGACCAUAUCUGAGGACACACAGAGGUCUUCUGAUGAUGGUAUCAGUCCAGAUCAACAUCUCAGUCAGUUGUGGUGAACUUGAGUUUGAAGAAGGUGUCUGCAGCUUCUUCCUGCUGGUUUUCAGGUUGGAAAUGAUGAAUCUGUUGUAAAUGAGGGUGUUGACAGCAUUGAUGGUGAAAAUAGAACUGGAUCAUUUUCUACACAGUGUCAGAACUGUCUCUGUACCAUCAUGUUCAUCAUUCAGUAUUCAUAAUCAAUACAACCAUGAAAACUAACAUCAUUUUCCACCACUCACUGGAGAUUAUCUGCUGGACUAGAACAUAUGAAUGAUGAGAACACAGGAGGUAUUUGGACAGCAGCUCCAUGAGUCUGAAAAAAGUGGUGGAGAUAGGAUGUUAAUGUCUCUCUCUCUCUCUCUCUCUCUCUCUCUCUCUCUCUCACUCUCUCUCUCUCUCUCUGUCUCUCUCUCUCUGCCCACGGUGCUGCAGGUUGGCACUUACACUAGUCUGCCUCAUAACACCUCAUAGCAUGUGAAAACAGCCGUGCUCUUCCACUGUAUAUAUGGACACCAUGUCUCUAAGGAGAAGCAGUGUGACUGCAUCAUCAUCAUCAUCAUCAUCAUCAGUUUUCCAUGUUGUCCCUUUGUUGUCAUGGUGAUGCAGAGUGAAGAUGAUUCCUCUCAUGUUGAGAUGUUGGUGGGCUGUAACUCGGCUGCACGCCUCUGUUUCAGAUGUUGAUGUAAAUUGGUCAGACUGCUGCCUUCUGCUGAAACAGCCUGUAAACAAACACUGCAGCAGACUGGGGUUUGAUCCAGGUCUGAGUCUGAGAGACUGAACCAGGUCUAAAGGACUAACAAGGACUCUUUUAGGGAGCAGAAAAGUCUGUUUUUGGUCAUAACUAGCAUGGCUGUGAUUAGGUUGAAUUAAUACAGGUACCCAUAUUGAUCCUCCAUGUUGGUAUUAUCAGGACUCAUUAUUGAUACCUCACUUCAUGAUUUAGUGCAAACAUUUAAAAAAGAGAAGAAAACAUGUUCAAAGAUGAAUCUCUUUUAUUUCUUCUGACUCCAGAUGUUUCUUUCUGCAUCAAACACACAAACUAGAAAAAUUCAAUGUUAUUUUUAUAGGAAUCAUGGGAAUGUACGCCCCCUAGAGUUACAUGGAGAAAAAACUUUCAUUGUGAAAACAAAGAAAUUUUGAAUUCUUCAAAUGUUCAGAGUCAAACCAGCUCUAACCUGCUAAAAAAUGUUUUUAUCUGAACCAAUCAGAGAAACAGGAGCUGCUGUGAUUUAGUGAGUCGUCCUCUGAUUGGUCAACAGUCAGUGUCUAUGGAAAGACUUACAUUACAGCAGGAUGUCAACAUUAAACACUGAGAGGAGCACUGAUUCUCCAAGAGGUACUUUGGAUACUGACCAAUCACAUACCAGGACCAAAAACCUGGUUCUCAGUCCCCUUCUCCAACCAGAACUCAAGAAUUCACUCAAUCAUAAUGAUCCAGCUGCACUAACAUGAAGACAACACUGUUAGAGAACAGAAUGACUAAAAUAAGUCAUGGAGUCAUUUGUCUUGAACAUCAAAACAGUUUUUUUUUUCUUCUAAACUUUGACUUCCUGUCUUCUCUCAUGGCUGUGGUCCUGAUAUUAGUAUCUGUCUGGUUAAAAACAGGCCGUCUGUCAAACCAAAGAUCAUGUUUGUUUUUGGUGAGGAGAAACAUCAAAUUACCCUUUAAUGAAAUAUUGUUGAUAUUUAUGUUGUUACAGAUUUUCUCUCUGUGGACUCUCAGAGACUCACUGUGAAGUUGUGGCCUCAGCUCUGAAGUCCAACCCCUCCCAUCUGAGAUAUCUGGACCUGAGUAACAACGAGCUGAAGGAUUCAGGGGUGAAGCUUCUCUCUGCAGGACUGGAGAGUCCAAACUGCAGACUGGAGACUCUGAGGUGAGACACCAUUUCCUUCUGAUCUAACAAUAAGAUGUGACAGCUGCUGCCUUAGAUUUUUCUCUGUGGUUUUUCCAUCAACUUUGGUCGAGCAGUUUGAAUUUGUCGUUGUAAAACUUCAACACAGGAAGAAAAAUCCGACAUUUCAGAGUUGACUUUGAGGAGAACGAUGGAUGUAGAAAGGAAGCAGGAGAAAAUCAGUCCACAAAUAUUACACAUGCUUGUAGAGGGCAGGAGCAGCACAGACUAAAGACUGAUACUGAACUGAUCCACAGUUAAUGUGAUCACUAAUGAAUGAAUGAAGUGUCAGAGAAAUGAGGAGCUGCAGAUUGAAACCUGAAGAACAAAGUUAAUCCAACUCUGGAUAUUUCAUUUGGAAACUCUUGAAAACUUGAAUUUCUUCUUUGCUCAGUCGUGUUCAAAUGUAAAAACCAGAUCCAGAUUUGUCUGCAGUUUUCACUUCAGUUUGUUGAACAUGAACAUCAUCUUGUCCAGUUGGUCCAUAAAAACCUCUCUGAUCAAUGAUCUGUUGGUUUAUUUAAGAGUAGUUUGGCAGUUGUUGACAGCAGACGGACAGACCCCUGAAUAAACUCCUGACUGUUUUCAUCUUCAUGAAGAAUUCAGGACUACAAAAGAACCUUUGAGAUUUCUCACAUGAGUUUCUCAGGAUCUCACUAAAGUUUUCUGUUUCUUUAAAAUUUUCUUGACUGAUAAAUUCCUCAGGAUCUUCAAAAAGUUUAGAGAAGAUUUUACAAAGUUCCUGAAGAUCAACUCUGAAAAAGUUCUUCUUCCGUGUCCUUCAGGGGCUCAAGAACAUUGAAUCAUUAAAAACAGGAACAGUUUCUUCAGAGGUUCCAUGAUUUUUUUCUUUUUUCAGACUGUGACAGGUGUUUAUUAGUCUUUUUGACACAUUACAAUAAUGAGGAUAAAGUCAUGGACUAAACUUGGGCUCCCAGUUUCCUUGUUGUUGUUUCUUCAGCUAGCAUCAUUGUUUUCAUCACAGUUAUUAAAGUAAUAAUGAUGCUUCAUAAAUUCAGAGUCACAAAAAAACACCAAACAAACCAAAUCUGAAAAAAAUUCACUUUUUCAUCAAAUGAGUUUAAUCGGUCAGAACAUGAGGUUUGAGUUUUCAUGAGGAGGAAACGAGAAAGAUCUGCUCUGACAGUGAGAAACACAGACGCCUGAAUCUACACUGACAGACAGACAAACACAGACAGAGAGACACAGACAGAGAGACACAGACACAGACACACAAAUACAGACACACAGAGACACAGACACACAGACUAACAGAGAUUUUCUUCUUCGUCUCUUUGCUGUGAUGACUGAAGUCACAAAAACAAAGUUUUCUUCGUCACUUUUAUGAUUGAACCAAAUAAGUUAAAGAACCAAACUCUCAGAUUUUCUUCUUCUCAAUAUUAUUUGAACCAUUUUGAUUUUUCUCCUGAUCAAUAUUCAAUGAUCAGAUUGAUCAGGUUCCUGUUUUGGCUCCACUGCCUCUUUUCUGCAGCUCAAUAACUGCUCAUAUGGUUUGAAAGGUUCCUGCAGUAAAAACCCGAUUAGAGAGUGGACUAAAUGAAAUGUGAGUGAACUCAGCCAUCAGUGAAUCAAUGACAAAGUGAGAGGAAGAGUGGAUCUGUCUGCUCUCUGACCUUGUUGAUCCUGAUGAAGGUGAGGGAGAAGAGUAAAGCAGUAAAGGUGAUGUUGUUGCAGACAGAGUCAGCUGACCUGUCUCAUCAGAGUCUCAUCCAUUCUCUGUUUGGCAGAGCGCUGAUGUUACAGUCUGAGAGCACAUUCAGGUUCAGCUUCACAUGGGCUGGAUCUGCUCAAUACAAACUCUUAAGACCAGCCUGGUUGAGGGAGGUGGGCUCAGUGUCCUGGGUGACUCUCUCUGAGCUCUUCUUGGUUGAGAGUAUUUCUGGUUUGUCACUGACUUCCAUGAACUCAGAUCUGGAGGAUUGCUGGCUGGUCUGGUCCAGUUCUGACAGUAGAGACAACACAGUCUGUUAUUCUGGGUUGAGUGUUCUUGUUGAAGAUCAGUGUACAGUGAGGGAUGAAGGCAGACAAAGAUCCUCCUGUUUCCUCCAUGUCACAGUUCAAGUUCAUUUUGAAGACUUUGAUUGAUCCGAGCGCUGAAGAGGAACAGGAAACGAGGAGUAGAGAGUGAGGGAGGACUUACAGCAAAGGAUCAUGGGAGUCCAACCAGCAACUGCUGCAACAAGGACUCCACCUUCUGAUCACCUGAACCUCUAAUCCAAACCAGUGCUCCAUCACAUUUGAUGUCUUGUCUGUUAUUUUACAUGGAGGGUCAGAGCAGACCAGAUCAUGAGCUCUGACAGACUGGAUCUGGUCCAAAGGUCUCCUGUUGGAGUUCUCUAAGCUCCAUAUUUUAAACCUGAACACCUGAAGUUUGAUUAUUAAUUAUUUUUAUCUUCAUUCUCUUUCCUUUUUUCAGAUUGUAUAAAUGCAGUUUGUCAGAGAUCAGCUGUUCUUCUCUGGCCUCAGCUCUGAAGUCCAACCCCUCCCAUCUGAGACAUCUGGACCUGAGCUUAAACGAUCUGCAGGAUUCAGGAGUGAAGCUUCUGUGUGACUUUCUGCAGAGUCCAAACUGUAAACUGGAGACUCUAGAGUGAGACUUUUUCCCUCCAUUCAAACAUGAUCAUGAUUUGUUUGUGAUGAUGACACUAAACUGCUGACUCAGGACUGAAAUACUGACCCAGACUGAACACCUUCAGUCCAGAGUAGAUUUUCUGCAUCAGUGGAUUAUUUGAUUGACUCCAGUUAGAUCACUGCUGAGCUCCAGUGAAUUAAAACCUGAACCCAAGAGGAAAACUCUUUGUAGAGUUCAUAGUGAGAAGCACAUUCAGACAGAAAACAGAAGCAGGGGGAGAUUUGUCAGAUGAGAACCAUUCAAACUUUUGUUCAGGACAAGAUCAGGGAAUAGAAAAAACUCAGAGUUUAGUUUCUGACUCUGAUGAAAGUCCAGCUCUGUUACUUUGAAUUUUGUUUUUGAAUCUUUGUGUAAAAAUCUGAAUUUUCUGGUUUAUCUGCACUUUUCUGAAGCCUUGCUGUGUUUAGACUGAAAUAUUUACCUCCCAAACACGUGAUAUUUUUUAUCUGCAUCUACAAUCAGUAAAAAAGUCUCUGAGUUUUUUAUUUCACUAUUUAAUGUGUUUUUGAAUUCACUGUUUCAAACUGACUUCCUGUUUGGUUCAGCUCUUUGGAGCGUCACUUUUCUUUGAUUCAGACUUUCCAAACCUUUCCCCUGAACUCUACAGAUUUAAGACAUCAGGUUUCAAACUGGAUCAUUUUUGUCUAAAAUCUCAUUAUUUCCUCUUUAUUUAGGUUGUGGCGCUGCAGUUUGACGAAGAUCAGCUGUUCUUCUCUGGCCUCAGCUCUGAAGUCCAACCCCUCCCAUCUGAGACAUCUGGACCUGACUGAAAACAAUCUGCAAGAUUCAGGAGAGAAGCUGCUGUGUGAUCUUCAGAAGAGUCCAGACUACAUACUGGAGUAUCUGCUGUCAGUCUAGAGUUGGAGUUAGUCUGUGCUGAUCUCUCCUGUUCCUCUCCACACAGUAUCACAGCAGAUAUUCAGUAUUUCCUGCUGACUCUUCGACCCUCUCAGAGGAUUAUCUCUUUAGUGAAGCUGUGAGAACAGAAAUCAUCAAACCAGGAGUGUAAGAGUGUCAGUGAUGAAAAAAGUGUCUCCUCGUCUCUAUAUUUCAGAUCAAAUGUAGAAAUGAGACAUAAUGAAACAGAAAUGUUCAGUUUCUGCUCUGAAGUCCAGUUUAUAGUUCUCUGUAUUCAACACAGACUUUAUUUCUCUGCUAACUUGUUGAUUUUGAGCUCUAAGUCUGAAAACAGACAGCUGUUCUUUAUACUUGUUAUUUUCACAGCAGGUUUGUUCGAUCAGCUUUAACACAUUUGACAGGAAUGAUUUCUUUAUUUUGAUGAUGUUGGUUUAUUUGUGAGGAAACCUGCUGCUUUACACCAUCACUUCUGGUCUGAGCAGGACUGAGACCUGCUGGUCUGUAAACUGGAUGUUCUUCAGUCCAGCUGAUGAAGUGAGUCUCAGAGUGGAAACACUGAUCGUCUUUUUUUCUCUCCUCAGAUGGUGAUAACAUCCGUCAGAGUGAUUAAGAAGAGGAUCGUGUGUUUCCUGACGAUCAGAGAGGUGGAGGCAGCAGCAGUGAGGGUGAGGUGAGUCUCUGACUGAGAGACUGACUGACCAAUCACAGCGGGCGGAGAGGACUCUGGGAGCUGCACUUUGACCUGCUCUGAGAUCAGCUCAGGACCUGGACUCUGGAUAUUUGAUAUUUUCCCUCAUACUCUGGGAUCAAACAGUCUGAACAGGUUUGUUUUGUUGAUGGAAACAUGAUCAUAAAUUUACACUUUGAUUGGAUUACUUUUUUUUACCAUGAUACAGCGCCACCCAGUGGAAAUAUAAAGAGGUGGAGUUGAUUUAUUCCCUCAUAUUUCUGUAGCAGGAGUUGAUACCAUGUGUGAGAGUAGAUCACUCAGAAGUUCAGAUAAAACCCAAAGGUUUUUUCUUUCCUCUGCACCGUUAGAGACCGAAUAUAAACUGAAGGGAGAGGAAGAGAAGUGAGGAGAGAUGGAGGUGAAGGGAGGAGGAGGAGGACAGGGUUUGGGGUUUUAACAAAAAUCUGAAGCUUUAUUCUUUCACUUGAUUAUUUUUAUUCAUCCGUUUUCUUCUUCAUUUUCUGAAAUUAUGGUAAAUAUUGACUGGAGGUAAAUUUAUUUUAUUUAAUAUUAUUAGACACUAUUUUCCGUCUCUUUACAUGUUUUUGUUCUCAUAUCAUCUUUGUGCUCAUCAAUAAUCGAUUCCCUCCAGUUUGAACAAAUACAAUUAUUAAACCAUAAAUGAGACCUGAGAGUAAAAUUAAAAUGUGUGAAAUAUAAUCAGUCAAAAGAAAGAUUCUUGAACAAAAACAAAAACAUUAUUUUUACUUUAUUAUGAUGGAGAAGUUUUCCUCUGACAGACAAAAAUAACCGUAUUGACUGGAGUCUGGAAAAAGUGAGAUCAGCAUCUAUUCAGGGUGAAGUCACUAACGUGGUCGAUGCUGUUUUAUAAACUCAGUGUUGUUGAUUACAAUCUCAGCUUCAUAAACUGAUGCUACAGCUCAUGUCACAGUCUGCUCACACCACAGAAACAUUAAACAUAGAACUAUUGUGAACAGAUUUGUCCUCUUCAGCUAAUCUACUAUCAAUAGAUCUGUGCUCUGUCUGUGUAACACUAUGUUGGUUCUUCAUUUACACCAGAUCAUUUUUUAUUUCAUUUCACUGUAACAAUGUCAUUUAAAGAUAAUAAAAACUUUAUUUGAACCAAAACAUGUUAAAAACGUCAACUCGGCUCGUUUCAUUCACUGUGUGCAAUUGAUUAUUAUUAUUUUUCAUUCAAACAGAAACUAGAUUUGGUCUUUAAAAAGUCCUCAAAGUGAGUCUGAAAAGUAGAGGAAGGUUUUCUCAUCAGGGUGCAGCACAGUUGUUUCCUGUGUUUUCAUUUGUGAUAUUCUCUCUAAGGUGUGUUAUUGUUCAUUUAAAGUAUGUGGAGGACAAAUCCACACAUCUAACAAAAAAAGGUAAAAUAUAAAGAUAGAUUUCUGCAUGACAUCAACGAUAUCCUAGAUUUAGUUUUCUAAGCAACAGGUGGUCGUCUUUUAUCGGGGGUACUUUGAUCCAGAAAUCUGAAAAGGGGUUACUAAAGCAAAAGAAGAAAAACCAGAGACUGUAUAUAGAAUGGACAGAGUCUGCCUCCUCGCUGGGUGAAGCCACUCUGAGAACAGCACCCUCUGUUGAUGGGCUGCAGUAUAGGUCAUAAAUCCCGCCUGCGCCAGCAAAGCUUAUGGAGCUGUGGACGAACUUUAGAAAUUUAUUACACAGAACAUAAUUUUUUCUCCCUCCUGGUUGUGAUGUUGACAUGUAGUUAUUGUCAGACUGGUUUGUGCUCAAGUCCUCUUUUUUCUGUACAGCUCAAUUUUUAAAAGUUAUUAGGGGGUUCAUGUUUGCUAUGACGUUUCACAGCCAUAAGGAAUAACCAAUCGGAGCCUAGCACUUCUAGCCAAUCAGAUGCGAAGGAGGGUGGGACCUUCCCCUACCAUCCCACGAAAAAAAAAAAACAAACACGUCCGGGUUUGCCGACCUUUAUUUCUGAGCCCCAGAUAACAGGACAGAGAUACCUAAAGCAUACAACGUGAACUUGUGUUAUCACUUCAACAUCUAACUAAAUAUAUGUUGGACAGUGAUCUUUGUAAAGUGAGGUGAAGGAGCAGUUUGUGUAGUGACAACACAAUCACACUGUGUGCAAAAAUAAAAACCUGUUCAACCAAAUCUUCACAUUUAUUGGGGUAUGAGAAGAGGAGCGCUCAUCUGAAGUUUGUUGGUUUGACCAGCAGGUGGAGCUGCUG